AACGAACGCUGGCGGCAUGCCUAACACAUGCAAGUCGAACGAGACCUUCGGGUCUAGUGGCGCACGGGUGCGUAACGCGUGGGAACCUGCCCUUAGGCUCGGAAUAACUCCCCGAAAGGGGUGCUAAUACCGGAUAAUGUCUUCGGACCAAAGAUUUAUCGCCUUUGGAUGGGCCCGCGCUGGAUUAGCUAGUUGGUAGGGUAAAAGCCUACCAAGGCGACGAUCCAUAGCUGGUCUGAGAGGAUGAUCAGCCACACUGGGACUGAGACACGGCCCAGACUCCUACGGGAGGCAGCAGUGGGGAAUAUUGGACAAUGGGCGAAAGCCUGAUCCAGCAAUGCCGCGUGAGUGAUGAAGGCCUUAGGGUUGUAAAGCUCUUUUACCCGGGAUGAUAAUGACAGUACCGGGAGAAUAAGCUCCGGCUAACUCCGUG
rnacentral:rRNA from 1 species